UACGGGGGGGGGCAAGCGUUGUUCGGAUUUACUGGGCGUAAAGGGCGCGUAGGCGGCAAAUUAAGUCAGCUGUGAAAUCUCCGAGCUUAACUCGGAACUGUCAGCUGAUACUGAUGUGCUAGAGUGCGGAAGGGGCAAUCGGAAUUCUUGGUGUAGCGGUGAAAUGCGUAGAUAUCAAGAGGAACACCUGAGGUGAAGACGGGUUGCUGGGCCGACACUGACGCUGAGUGCGCGAAAGCCAGGGGAGCAAACGGG
rnacentral:rRNA from 1 species